rnacentral:tRNA from 1 species
GGUAGUAUGGCCGAGUGAAGUAGGCAUUAGACUGUAAAUCUAAGGACAGAGGUUAAAUCCUCUUAUUACC